UACGAAGGGGGCUAGCGUUGUUCGGAAUUACUGGGGCGUAAAGCGCACGUAGGCGGAUUGUUAAGUUAGGGGUGAAAUCCCGGGGCUCAACCUCGGAACUGCCUUUGAUACUGGCAAUCUUGAGUCCGGAAGAGGUGAGUGGAAUUCCUAGUGUAGAGGUGAAAUUCGUAGAUAUUAGGAAGAACACCAGUGGCGAAGGCGGCUCACUGGUCCGGAACUGACGCUGAGGUGCGAAAGCGUGGGGAGCAAACAGGAUUAGAUACCCCGGUAGUCCCUGAGCGGGCUGG
rnacentral:rRNA from 1 species